AAUGAUAAAAUCGAUAUUUUAUUAUAGCAAAAAUUUGUGAAAAAUAAAAAGAAAAAGAAAGUUCUGCUUACGCUUGCGCGCACAUGUCAUAACAUCUUGUUCAACGUUCUGUGAAUUAGUUGUCGGCAAUUGCAUUGACCUCGAGCUUAUCCUUGACCUUGGGCGUGUCUUCGACGUACGAAGCGAAUAUGAUCGUGUCGAACGAGCCCUGACCUAACCUAUUCUAGGCUAUGUCUCUGUCUUUCGCAUACAGACAAAGCCUAGGAGAGGCUAAAUCAAAUUACUCGGUGUUUUUUUUUUCGCUACAUUAUUAUAUUUUGCACAAAAUAUCUUUAUAUAUGGGUUAGAUUAAUAUUUAUCCGUUAAAUUUUUUGUAAAUAAAUGAAGAGCGUAAAGAGAAGCACUAUAUAGCACUGUAUGUAGAAUGGAAUCUCUUUCUUUUUUUAAUGUCCUUCGAAUACGUAAUCUUUGAUUUGCCUUUCUUCAUUGAAAUGAUCAACAACAACUGAAUCGAAAUUAUAAUAAGUUUAUCGAGGAGAUUAAUUAAUUACAUUGAUAAAGCUUCGAGAAAUGUUAAAAAUAAAAUAAUAUGCAAAUUAGUAGAAUAAUAAGAGUGCAAACAUAUUUGCAAUAAUAAUAUCGAUAUGAAUAUUAUGGCUGUUGAAUCAAUUUAUAAAUUGUAUUUUACAGUAGGUUAGUCGUCGCGAAUCGCAAGGAAAUUGUGUCAUGCCUAAAAAUAUCCAAAGCACGCAGGAAAAUGUGAAAAGGUCGUACGGACAAGGAAUAAAAAAACUAAAGGAAUUGCACAAGAGAAGUUGAUUUGGUAUUCAAAUCACCAGUUAUGCGCCCGCCUCUCUCAUGGUAGAUAGCGUGUGGUAGUUGUAAUAUGGAGGUUUCUUUCCUGAGAGUACUUUUUCUCUUCUUUCUUCCUCGCUUUCAUUCGCAUUGAUACUUUUUUAGAAAAUCUCGACACAAAAACGAAGAAGUAGACAAAAAGAAAAAUAAAAAACAGAUAAAAGGCACGAAAAAAUUAAUCGACAGAGAAUUUGAAUGAUGUAUAUUUUAUCUCAUUAACGACGAUUGUCGAUAAAUGAUAUUUCCGAAAUAAAAACUGGAAGAAUCUCAUUUCUCGAAAUAAUGUAAACAAACUUUUUCCACUAAGUAAUUCAAUGAAGCACAUUUUUGUAGACAAAGGAAAUAAAAAUUUCAAUCAAGAGAUUUCAAUGCACGGUUAUGCGAUACUUCUUCUCAAAGAAGACAUCAACGGCCGCAUAGAACAUAGUCCGAGGUUGCGUAUCGUACACAUGUCAUACGAUUUAUUGCUGACAUAGUAGUAGUAGUGUCUUGUUCACCAAGAAUAGACAUCCGCUUUUUUCUUUGCCACCCCAUAGAUGACGGUCCUACCCGUAAAUUUGUACGAGAGUAAAAAGAGGAAACGUGCUCAUCUAUCCUCCUUCAAGGACAUGCCGAGAGUUUGAUGACGAAAAAGAAAAGAAAAGGAUGAGAACGUACCUCGUGAUUCAGGAUGUGUUAUCGGCAUGCAUUUUGGACGCCGGCUUGAAUUCCAUUUGUCACCUUUUUCCUUCUUCCUGAAAAAACGCACCGUAUAUAUUAUAGGGUGUAUACAGGGCGGGAUCAAUAACUUUGAUCAUAUUCAAUAUUUGAUAUUAAAGACAUACGAAAUGUAGAGAUAGUUUAAAAUGUAUUAAGAGUAAUAUACCAAGAAUAGAUUGGUAAUUUACUUUGUACUAUUUUGUUGUGCUUACAAUAAUAACAAUAAUUAUUAUUAUUAUUAUAAGUUAAACACACAGCAUAAGCCAAAGUAAGGGCAGAAUAAUAUAUUUUGAGGUAAGCUAA
rnacentral:lncRNA from 1 species